rnacentral:rRNA from 1 species
UACGUAGGGAGCAAGCGUUGUCCGGAUUCACUGGGUGUAAAGGGGGCGCAGGCGGGGGAGUAAGUCAGAGGUGAAAUCUCACAGCUUAACUGUGAAACUGCCUUUGAUACUGCUUUUCUUGAGUUCGGGAGAGGUUGAUGGAAUUCCAGGUGUAGCGGUGAAAUGCGUAGAUAUCUGGAAGAACACCAGUGGCGAAGGCGGUCAACUGGCCCGUAACUGACGCUCAGGCACGAAAGCGUGGGUAGCGAACAGG